CCUCGCCAAGCCUAUCAGGCCGACCUCUAGUUGGCCCCCCGAACUCUGCCUCCAAUGAAGAGAUGUCCAGAGUGGGGUGCACCUCCUUCAGUCGACCUAAUAAGCUUUGGGCACUCCAUGAGGCCCAGAAAUUGGCGAAGUCGUCACACAGGGGAUGGUCUUCAAAGUGGUCGAUGAAGUUUUGGACUGCCACCUCCCCUGUAGACUUCAACUCCUCCCUCAAAGAGACAAUCUCCUCUGACUGAGCCUCUGCCUUCUGCAUCAGCUCCGCCUUCUCUUUGUUGGAGGCCUCCAGAGCCUUGGUGGUGAGCUUGUGGUGCUCAUUGGCGUGAUCAAGCCGCCGAGUCACAGCAGCCACUUGGCACUCCACCUCGUACAACUCCUUCUUCAGUCGUUCCACUUCUGCUUUAGCGAAAAUUAGCUGGGCCUCAGCUUCCUUCUUUCCCUCUUUCGCCUGUGUGGCCUUGGCCUAGGCCACUCGUACGGCAUCCUUGUAGUGCAUCGCCUCCUCGAGGCGCUUGGCGAGGUUUUCCCUCUUAGAGUUCAGAUCCUUCACCAAGCCCUCAAGCUGGAUGCUUGUACUCAGAGCCCGAGCCACGCAGGCGCUAUUCGCAGCCACCAAAUCCUCAGCCGUAUAAGAGGCGGUGUGAUCCCUCCACUCCUCUGUCCAGUAUUUGUUGUGGACCACCACCACCACCACCACCGUAGCUGUUUCUGGAAGAAGAGCCUCCAACACUUCCCUUACGGGCUCGUCAGGAUUGGUGCCUAGAAAGUCGACCUCCUUAGAGGGACGGGGCCUCUUCCUUUUCUGCUGCCCCGGCACUUGAUCAAUUGGCACUGCAGCGAGGGGUGUUGUGGUCGGGGCAGUGGUAGGCUCAGUUGGGACGGGCCUCUUCUCCCGAAUGGCCACCCCGGUGGGAAUUGUGGUCUGCCUCAGAGCAGGGAGUGGCCUCACCACAGUUAGGUGUUUUGGAGGGGCGGUACUCUUCUUGUCCUUCCUCCAAAGGUCAGCCUCCGGGUCCUCUGGUACCUCCUCCUCCGUCGGAGGCUGAAGCCUCUUACUAGCUUCCACCAAAUCCUCCAUUCACUUUUUGUACGAGGAGGAGGAGGCCUUCAAUGCCCGUGCCUCUGCCAUCAUCUUCUGGAUGGUCUUAAAGUCGGGGCGUACCG
rnacentral:lncRNA from 1 species